AUAUUUCGGACGAACGCUGGCGGCAGGCCUAACACAUGCAAGUCGAGCGGCAGCGGGUCCUUCGGGCAUGCCGGCGAGCGGCGGACGGGUGAGUAAUGCCUAGGAAUCUGCCUGGUAGUGGGGGAUAACUCGGGGAAACUCGAGCUAAUACCGCAUACGUCCUACGGGAGAAAGCGGGGGAUCUUCGGACCUCGCGCUACCAGAUGAGCCUAGGUCGGAUUAGCUAGUUGGUGAGGUAAAGGCUCACCAAGGCGACGAUCCGUAGCUGGUCUGAGAGGAUGAUCAGCCACACUGGAACUGAGACACGGUCCAGACUCCUACGGGAGGCAGCAGUGGGGAAUAUUGGACAAUGGGCGAAAGCCUGAUCCAGCCAUGCCGCGUGUGUGAAGAAGGUCUUCCGAUUGUAAAGCACUUUAAGUUGGGAGGAAGGGCAGUAAGUUAAUACCUUGCUGUUUUGACGUUACCGA
rnacentral:rRNA from 1 species